rnacentral:rRNA from 1 species
UUCCUGGUGUCUAUUGCGCGGUGGAACCACACUGAUCCCUUCCCGAACUCAGAGGUGAAACGCUGCUGCGGCGACGAUAGUUUAGGGGUAGCCCUACGCAAAAAUAGCUCGAUGCCAGGUUU